UCACUGUACACCUUUUCCACUUACUAAUUAGGGCCUGCCUCACAGAGAGAGAACACACCCUGCCUGGCUCUGCAAGGGAAUGCCAAUGCGACAGACUUACAAGCAUGAAGCUGUUUGGGGCUGCUCUCUUCUCUCUAGCUGUGUUCAGAAUCUGCGCUACAAAUGUUUCCGCUGAUUCAAACAGUACAACAAGCAGUACCCCAGUUGUCUCAGUUCCCGCUGAUUCAAACAGUGAAAAAAACAACACCCCAAUUGUCUCAGUUCCCACUGAUUCAAGCACUACCCCAAUUGUCUCAGUUUUCACUGAUUCAAACAGUACUACAAGCAGUACCCCACUUGUCUCAGCUGCUUCAACUGCACCCUUGGAAUCAAGUUCCCAGAUCAAAUCUUUACAACCAUCAGAAAUGGUCACUGCAUCAUCACCAUCAAUAACAGAAGCAAGUGACAAAAUUAGUAACACAGAGAAAACUGAAUCACUUCCAGGGAGUACUGUGACAGCCUUCAACAGCACUUGGACGAUGACUGGUCUGAGUAACAGUACAACAACUUCAGAAUCCAAGAAGUCGGUUCAAGAAUCCAUUUCUAAUGUUGAUAGGCCAUCUCAAAUUCCGGGAACAAGAACCAGUCCAACAGGCAGCAGUGCUAACACUACAAAUGCUGGCAGUACUGGUGGAAAUUUCACAAAAGAGGAUUAUUCUGAUGCUGGCAGUACUGGUAGAAGUAUCACAAAAGAGGAUUAUUCUGGUAUUAUUUUACCAGUUGUGAUUGCCUUGAUAGUAAUAACCCUUUCUGUAUUCGUUCUGGUGGCCUUGUACAAGAUGUGCAAGAGGAGAGCCCCAGAGAGACAAGAGAAUGGAACUGAACGAGCCCCCACAGAUAAAGAGGGUGUCAAGCUUCUUUCUGUAAAGACAACUUCUCCUGAGACUGGUGAGCACUCCUCUGAGGGAAAGUAUAGAACUCACCAACAUGACGAAUCUUCGCAUCUGGGCAAUAAACAUGGCAGCCUGCAUACUGAACUCCUCAAACCCAUCCCCACUAUUGAACAAUCAUUUGAAUGAAGAAAAACAAAAUGUAUUUGAGUUAAAGACUUGAGCAACGCUGGAUAACUCUUCUAGUCAAUUAAUAUUUUAUAAUAGGAAGCAAGUCCUUAUUCUCAGAUGUGAAGCAGCACAGUAUAAGGGAUCUGUCCUCUGAAGUUGCAGUUCUACAGCAGAUAUAUGGAUCAGCUGUUGCUUCCUACAGACAUCCAGGGCACUUGUGUUAAUUGUUCUCAGAUUAGCUCAUAAUUUCUAUAUGUUAAAUGCCUUGGGUUUUCUUGAUGUCUACAUAAGUAUUUAUUAUUUCUACAUAUGUUAAAGCAGGGAAACUUUCAAGAAUGAAUAAGGAAUUGUAAAAAUCAGGAGGUGUGUGACUAAUUAUGUCUUUCUUGUAUAUAGAAAUGUUUUCUUCCCAUGUUGGAAGGAAUGUGUUAAUACUGUAAAUUGUCUUGUAUCCUAAGCAGUAGAUUGCAAACUUGGGGCUUGAUCUUUCAAAUACUAGUAUGCAAAACUAUAAUUACCACAAGUGUGUCCAUUGACUUCUUUGGGUUUAUUCGCAUACUAAGUACUUCACCUGGUAGUAAAUAUAUGCUGGAUGAGGCACUUGAAGAUAAUAUCAAAGGGUAUGUCUACACUACCCUCCUAGUUCGAACUAGGAGGGUAAUGUAGGCAUACCGCACUUGCAAAUGAAGCCCGGGAUUUGAAUUUCCCAGGCUUCAUUUGCAUAAGCCGGGCGCCACCAUUUUUAAAUCCCGGCUUAAUCAGUCUUUGUGCUGGAUCAUCUGAGUGACUCCGGGGAGUGUGGUUGAGCAGAAGUAUCACAAUGUCUAUUCUUUCAAAAGGCGAGGCCAUCUAAAAUGUGAAGGUUAAGCGUUUAUAUCAAACAUUAUACCCAGUUCAGCUUCCAGGCUGCUGAGAAGUCCAAAUGGAAAAAAAGAAUCUAUGCCCAAGUUUUCAUGUAUAUGUAAAGUAGAUGUUUUGUAACACUUUCUUUACAGAGCAGCUUGAAAGAUCUGUGUAAUGUGAGUGUGGGAGAUUAAUAUCAGCGAUUAUGCAAGAUUUGUGCAGAAACUGUCAUGAUUUGUCAAGAUAAUGCUAAUCUUAUAAUAAAAGUUUA